GAAGUCACAGCUUUCUCCUUCCCUUUUUUGUGUCUGUGUAGCUUUGAUGCACUAACAUUCUGUGAAUAACUCCUCUAAUGCCUGCUUCCUUGUGCCUCACUCUUGCAGCUCUGCCUAUGUCGGAACGGAGACCCGAUCAACUGCAGCUGGGACAGUGGCCUCAUCUUAAUCACACUCGCUUUGCCAUAUAAAUCAGGGAGUCCCUUGUAAGGAUCUGGCACAACUUCCACUUCUCCUCCAAUCCCUGUUUGUUUUUGUCAAAACCGAUGUGCCACGAUAGAGCUGACAAGCAGAAGCAUUUUUCUUUCAUGAAAAUUAAAGUAAGCAAAAUAUACUUUUUGGUAAUAGUGUUUGCAGUUUUACCUGUGCUUCUUUUAAUCUGGUAUUCAUUAGUAUCUCAGCAUGUGUUUAACUAAUGGUCCUAAUUAAAUGCAAACACAUCUUUACCCUGUAUAUAUAUGCUAGUGACCUCUUUCUUUAGUUAAUCCAGUCUUACUUAAUGCAAAAUUAAUAGACUUUACAUGAAGUUCAAAUAUUCUGUAUCUCUGUAGCAACAUUUGCACUAAUUUAAUACAGACAUAAAAAACUGACAGUAGAACAUAGAAACACCUGCAUUAUUUUUAAACUUGACAAACAUUCCCAAAUGUUACAGUGCCUUGCAGAAAUAUUCAUAACUCAUAAACAUUUUUCUCAUUUUGUUGCUUUAAAACCACCAUCUUUAGUGUAUUUUAUAGAGAUUAUUUGUGAUAAAGUGACACAAAGUGUCAUAAGUGUGCAUAAUUUUGAAAAAUGUGACAUAAACCUCCACCCCAGUCUCAACUCUUUUGCAGCCUGUAACAGAUUUUCUGAAUGAAAGCAUUCUUACUGCAUGAUGCUCCCAGCACCAUGUUUCACAGUGGUGAGUUCAGGGUAGUCUCUGGUGUUAGCUUUAUGCUACAAAUCAAUAUUUUCCAUGUACUAGGCCAUAAGGAAGCUUCUGGUCCUAUCUGAAAAGAAAGGAAGGUAGUUUUCCUUUCUACUGUCGCUACAUGCAUGCUCAGUAUGAGGGAUUGCUGCAAUGUCAUUGUCAGUGACUGUCCAGUGUUGCUACAGGCUCAUCCAGGAGGACUGAACGCUGCAAGUCACUGACUCAACGCAAUCUGUUGGGUUUCCUUAGAUAUAAAAACUUGUUAACUAAUUUCAAUAAUAAACUGAAUCUGACUGCACUGUGUGAUAAUUAGGAUCAAUUGGAACAUAUUUACCUGACUCAAAGUCUGUAUGAUUUAAUUUAAUCGACUCUGUAAAGUGCCUUGAGAUGACGUGUUGUAAAUUGGAGCUAUAUAAAUAAACUGAACUGAACUGAAACAUGCGCACA